ACAAAUCCGUGUUGGUGUUGUGCGUGCAUUUUGUGUGCGUGCAGUAUCACAUAAACUCGGGGGGUAGUGGGAGGCGACUCUUGCUUCUCCCCGAUCAUCAUCAUAUAUGUAUGUGUAGUUGACUAAUUUGUGGACUAAUUUUUA
rnacentral:misc_RNA from 1 species